CACCCCUGCAGCCUUCCAGGCCAAGUUCCAGGUCUUCCCUCCCUCCUUGGACUUCCUUCUGUGCCUGGUGCUCAUCUCCAGGGGCUGCAAUUCCAGCUGUUUAUGGGUAAGAUCAACUCUUGCCAGGUGAGCCCAAAGCCCAGCCCAGCGCGGUGGCACCUGGGUGAGAUCAGUGACAGCAAACAGCAGCUCCCAUGGGAACUUUUGAAUGUUGGGACUGUCAGAGCCUCAUCUUUCAGGGUUAUUUUAUUUGCAGGUGUUUCCCUGAGACUCCUCUACCAUCAGAGUUUGGUGUUCCAUCAGCCUUGGGCAGCUUGACUUCCCAGAGCAUGAGCCUGCUCCCAACCAGCUUCUGCAGAGCCCAAACUUCCCUGUGUUCAAUUUCUUGUUAUUGCAUUUAGUCUCUGGUGACUCCCGAGCUGACAGCUGACGAUCUGGAACGUUAAUCCUGGAUAAUGUGACAUGGAACAUUUCCACGGCUCCUCGGCACAGCUUUCCCUCCUCAUGCUGCCUUUGAGUUUGGAUUUGUUUGUUUUCCAAGGCAAACUCUGGAUCUGGCUCCCAUCAACAGCACCCUUUCGACAGAUCCCAAAAUUUAUAUAUUUAUGUAAGUAAUUCUCAGAUAAGGGGGCUAUUUCGGGAAUGGGAUUCUCGUGACAGUCCUGGGAGAGGGUUGGAUCCAGCACGGGAUGAGCUUUAAGCACUGGGAUGCUCAAGAUGCCUCUGCCCAGAGGAAGAUGCUGUGGGGGGACCCCAGUGAGGGCACAGGUGCCCCCACAUCUC